rnacentral:rRNA from 1 species
AGCGUAGGCGGACAUUUAAGUCAGGGGUGAAAUCCCGGGGCUCAACCUCGGAAUUGCCUUUGAUACUGGGUGUCUUGAGUAUGAGAGAGGUGUGUGGAACUCCGAGUGUAGAGGUGAAAUUCGUAGAUAUUCGGAAGAACACCAGUGGCGAAGGCGGCUUACUGUUCCAUUACUGACGCUGAGGUGCGAAAGCGUGGGGAGCAAACA